UCCGGUUUAACACCGGCGGUCUCCUUAGGGUGCCCAACUAAAUGAUGGCAACUAAGGACAAGGGUUGCGCUCGUUAAGGGACUUAACCCGACAUCUCACGAUACGAGCUGACGACAGCCAUGCAGCACCUGUCUCCCGGCCCCCGAAGGGAAAACCCCAUCUCUGGAGCGGUCCUCCGUUGUCUAGCCCAGGUAAGGUUCUUCGCGUUGCGUCGAAUUGAACCACAUGCUCCACCGCUUGUGCGGGCCCCCGUCAAUUCCUUUGAGUUUUAACCUUGCGGCCGUAGUCCCCAGGCGGAGCACUUAAUGCGUUAGCUGCGUUACUAAAGGAUUUAACUCCUCCAACAACUAGUCAUCAUCGUUUAGGGCGUGGACUAC
rnacentral:misc_RNA from 1 species